UAAGGAAUAUUGGUCAAUGGAGGCAACUCUGAACCAGCCAUGCCGCGUGCAGGAAGAAGGCCCUAUGGGUCGUAAACUGCUUUUGAACAAGAGAAAACCCCGGUACGUGUACUGGGUUGAUAGUAUUGUUAGAAUAAGCAUCGGCUAACUUCGUGCCAGCAGCCGCGGUAAGACGAAGGAUGCAAGCGUUAUCCGGAUUCAUUGGGUUUAAAGGGUGCGUAGGCGGACUGAUAAGUCAGUGGUGAAAUCUCUCGGCUUAACCGAGAAACUGCCAUUGAUACUGUUAGUCUAGAGUACAGAUGAUGUGGGCGGAAUAUGACAUGUAGUGGUGAAAUACUUAGAUAUGUCAUAGAACACCGAUUGCGAAGGCAGCUCACAAAACUGUAACUGACGCUGAGGCACGAAAGUGCGGGGAUCAAACAGGAUUAGAUACCCAACUAGUCCCUGAGCGGGCUGGCAAGGCGCAU
rnacentral:rRNA from 1 species